AACGCGAAGAACCUUACCAGGUCUUGACAUCCUCUGAAUCUUGAGGAAACUUGAGAGUGCCUUUCGGGGAGCAGAGAGACAGGUGGUGCGUGGUUGUCGUCAGCUCGUGUCGUGAGAUGUUGGGUUAAGUCCCGCAACGAGCGCAACCCCUGUAUUUAGUUGCUAACGAGUAGAGUCGAGCACUCUAGAUAGACUGCCGGUGAUAAACCGGAGGAAGGUGGGGAUGACGUCAAAUCAUCAUGCCCCUUAUGUUCUGGGCUACACACGUGCUACAAUGGACGGUACAGACGGAGGCGAAGCCGCGAGGUGGAGCAAAUCCGAGAAAGCCGUUCUCAGUUCGGAUUGCAGGCUGCAACUCGCCUGCAUGAAGUUGGAAUCGCUAGUAAUCGCGAAUCAGCAUGUCGCGGUGAAUACGUUCCCGGGUCUUGUACACACCG
rnacentral:rRNA from 1 species